rnacentral:rRNA from 1 species
CGCGUAGGUGGUAGUGAAAGUCUAUGGUGGAAUCUUAGGGCUUAACCCUAAAACUGCCUUGGAAACUUCAUUACUUGAGUCAGUGAGGGGAGGGUAGAAUUCCUGGUGUAGCGGUGAAAUGCGUAGAUAUCAGGAGGAAGGCCGGUGGCGAAGGCGGCCCUCUGGCGCUGAACUGACGCUGAGGCGCGAAAGCGUGGGUAGCAAACAGGAUUAGAUACCCUGGUAGUCCACGCCCUAAACGGUGGGUACUAGGUGUAGGGCUCGUAAGGGUUCUGUGCCGAAGGGAAACCAUUAAGUACCCCGCCUGGGGAGUACGGGCCGCAAGGUUCGAA